GACGAACGCUGGCGGCGUGCUUAACACAUGCAAGUCGAACGGAAAGGCCCUGCUUUUGUGGGGUGCUCGAGUGGCGAACGGGUGAUUAACACGUGAGUAACCUGCCCUUGACUUUGGGAUAACUUCAGGAAACUGGGGCUAAUACCGGAUAGGAGCUCCUGCUGCAUGGUGGGGGUUGGAAAGUUUCGGCGGUUGGGGAUGGACUCGCGGCUUAUCAGCUUGUUGGUGGGGUAGUGGCUUACCAAGGCUUUGACGGGUAGCCGGCCUGAGAGGGUGACCGGCCACAUUGGGACUGAGAUACGGCCCAGACUACUACGGGAGGCAGCAGUGGGGAAUAUUGCACAAUGGGCGGAAGCCUGAUGCAGCAACGCCGCGUGCGGGAUGACGGCCUUCGGGUUGUAAACCGCUUUCGCCUGUGACGAAGCGUGAGUGACGGUAAUGGGUAAAGAAGCACCGGCUAACUACGUG
rnacentral:rRNA from 1 species